UACGUAGGGCGCAAGCGUUGUCCGGAAUUAUUGGGCGUAAAGAGCUCGUAGGCGGCUUGUCACGUCGGAUGUGAAAGCCCCGGGCUCAACCUGGGAAUUGCAUUUGAGACUGCAUAGCUAGGGUGCGGAAGAGGGAAGCGGAAUUUCCGGUGUAGCGGUGAAAUGCGUAGAUAUCGGAAGGAACACCAGUGGCGAAAGCGGCUUCCUGGUCCAGCACCGACGUCAGGCACGAAAGCGUGGGGAGCAAACAGG
rnacentral:rRNA from 1 species